rnacentral:rRNA from 1 species
CCCUUAGAUGUUCUGGGCUGCACGUGCGCUACACUGAAGCUAUCAACACGUUUUCCCUCCCUGAGAAGGGCGGGUAACCUUUUGAAUCAGCUUCGUGGUAGGGAUCGGGGCUUGCAAUUGUUCCCCGUGAACCAGGAAUUCCUAGUAGACGCGAGUCAUAAGCUCGCAUCGAUUAAGUCCCUGCCCUUUGUACACACCGCCCGUCGCUACUACCGAUUGAACGUUUUAGUGAGGCAUUUGGACCGACGCAUCUCAGUUUAACCGCUGGUUUGUGUUGGAAAGACUUCCAAACUUGAGCGUUUAGAGGAAGUAAAAGUCGUAACA